rnacentral:rRNA from 1 species
GACGAACGCUGGCGGCGUGCCUAAUACAUGCAAGUAGAACGCUGAAGAGAGGAGCUUGCUCUUCUUGGAUGAGUUGCGAACGGGUGAGUAACGCGUAGGUAACCUGCCUUGUAGCGGGGGAUAACUAUUGGAAACGAUAGCUAAUACCGCAUAACAAUGGAUGACACAUGUCAUUUAUUUGAAAGGGGCAAUUGCUCCACUACAAGAUGGACCUGCGUUGUAUUAGCUAGUAGGUGAGGUAAUGGCUCACCUAGGCGACGAUACAUAGCCGACCUGAGAGGGUGAUCGGCCACACUGGGACUGAGACACGGCCCAGACUCCUACGGGAGGCAGCAGUAGGGAAUCUUCGGCAAUGGGGGCAACCCUGACCGAGCAACGCCGCGUGAGUGAAGAAGGUUUUCGGAUCGUAAAGCUCUGUUGUAAGUCAAGAACGGGUGUGAGAGUGGAAAGUUCGCACUGUGACGGUAGCUUACCAGAAAGGGACGGCUAACUACGUG